rnacentral:rRNA from 1 species
GAAGCCGGAAUUGCUAGUAAUGGCAGGUCAGCAUACUGCCGUGAAUACGUUCCCGGGCCUUGUACACACCGCCCGUCACACCAUGAGAGUUGGGAAUACCCGAAGCCUGUGAGCUAACGUUAAGAGGCAGCAGUCGAAGGUAGAAUCAAUGAUUGGGGUGAAGUCGUAACAAGGUACC